GAAGUUUUCAGAGAUGAGAAUGUGCCUUCGGGAACCGUGAGACAGGUGCUGCAUGGCUGUCGUCAGCUCGUGUUGUGAAAUGUUGGGUUAAGUCCCGCAACGAGCGCAACCCUUAUCCUUUGUUGCCAGCGGUUCGGCCGGGAACUCAAAGGAGACUGCCAGUGAUAAACUGGAGGAAGGUGGGGAUGACGUCAAGUCAUCAUGGCCCUUACGACCAGGGCUACACACGUGCUACAAUGGCGCAUACAAAGAGAAGCGACCUCGCGAGAGCAAGCGGACCUCAUAAAGUGCGUCGUAGUCCGGAUUGGAGUCUGCAACUCGACUCCAUGAAGUCGGAAUCGCUAGUAAUCGUGGAUCAGAAUGCCACGGUGAAUACGUUCCCGGGCCUUGUACACACCGCCCGUCACACCAUGGGAGUGGGUUGCAAAAGAAGUAGGUAGCUUAACCUUCGGGAGGGCGCUUACCACUUUGUGAUUCAUGACUGGGGUGAAGUCGUAACAAGGUAACCGUAGGGGAACCUGCGGUUGGAUCACCUCCUUA
rnacentral:rRNA from 1 species